rnacentral:rRNA from 1 species
UUUAGCUUGCUAAAUCCGGUGCUGACGAGCGGCGAACGGGUGAGUAACACGUAGGAAUCUACCCAGUAGCGGGGGAUAGCCCAGGGAAACUUGGAUUAAUACCGCAUACACCCUAAGGGGAAAAGAAGGCCACUCUUUGAAGCUUUCACUAUUGGAUGAGCCUGCGUAAGAUUAGCUUGUUGGUGGGGUAAAGGCCUACCAAGGCAACGAUCUUUAGCUGGUCUGAGAGGACGAUCAGCCACAUUGGGACUGAGACACGGCCCAGACUUCUACGGAAGGCAGCAGUUAGGAAUAUUGGACAAUGGGGGCAACCCUGAUCCAGCUAUACCGCGUGUGUGAAGAAGGCCCUAGGGUUGUAAAGCACUUUAAGCAGGGAAGAAGCGUAUUAAGUUAAUACCUUAAUAUGUUGACGUUACCUGAAGAAUAAGGACCGGCUAACUCCGUGCCAGCAGCCGCGGUAAUACGGAGGGUCCAAGCGUUAAUCGGAAUUACUGGGCGUAAAGCGCGCGUAGGCGGUUUAAUAAGUUGUAUGUGAAAGCCCCGGGCUCAACCUAGGAACUGCAUACAAAACUAU